rnacentral:rRNA from 1 species
GACAGAGGGUGCAAACGUUGUUCGGAAUUACUGGGCCUAAAGCGCACGUAGGUGGUCCGCUAAGUCGCGUGUGAAAUCCCUCGGCUCAACCGAGGAAUUGCGGGCGAUACUGGCGGGCUAGAGAUCGGGAGGGGUGAGUGGAACUCCAGGUGGAGCGGUGAAAUGCGUAGAUAUCUGGAGGAACACCGGUGGCGAAAGCGACUCACUGGCCCGACACUGACACUGAGGUGCGAAAGCUAGGGUAGCAAACGGG